UACGGAGGGUGCGAGCGUUGUCCGGAAUCACUGGGCGUAAAGGGCGCGUAGGUGGCCUGAUGAGUCAACGGUGAAAGCUCGACGCUCAACGUCGAGUCGGCCGUCGAUACUGUUGGGCUGGAGCACUGUAGAGGCUCAUGGAAUUCCGGGUGUAGCGGUGGAAUGCGCAGAUAUCAGGAGGAACACCGGUGGCGAAGGCGGGUCUCUGGGCAGUAACUGACGCUGAGGAGCGAAAGCGUGGGGAGCGAACAGG
rnacentral:rRNA from 1 species